UGGGGCGUCGGCAAGUGGUAAGCCAGCGGGUUUUGAUUCCGCCUACCGUAGGUUCGAAUCCUACCGCCCCAA
rnacentral:tRNA from 1 species